rnacentral:rRNA from 1 species
AGCAGCCGCGGUAAUUCCAGCUCCAAUAGCGUAUAUUAAAGUUGUUGCAGUUAAAAAGCUCGUAGUUGAAUUUCGGGGUCAGUAGAUUGGUCAUGCCUCCGGUAUGUACUGGUCUUACUGGCUCCUCCUUCCUGAUGAACCGUAAUGCCAUUAAGUUGGUGUUGCGGGGAAACAGGACUGUUACUUUGAAAAAAUUAGAGUGUUUAAAGCAAGCUAACGCUUGAAUACAUUAGCAUGGAAUAAUGAAAUAGGACGUUCGAUCCUAUUUUGUUGGUUUCUAGGAUUGACGUAAUGAUUAAUAGGGAUAGUUGGGGGGCAUUAGUAUUCAAUUGUCAGAGGUGAAAUUCUUGGAUUUAUUGAAGACUAACUACUGCGAAAGCAUUUGCCAAGGAUGUUUUCAUUAAUCAAGAACGAAAGUUAGGGGAUCGAAGACGAUCAGAUACCGUCGUAGUCUUAACCAUAAACUAUGCCGACUAGGGAUCGGAUGAUGUUAAUUUUUAAUGACUCAUUCGGCGCCUUA